rnacentral:tRNA from 1 species
GCCCGUCUAGCUCAGUGUCAAUCGCAAGGCUCUUAACCUUGUGGUCGUGGGUUCGAGCCCCACGGUGGGCU